GUAGGUACCUCAGCCCUGUCCCGGCGCUGGCCGCACGCGGGCAUCUGUUUCCCGCCCCGAAUUUAAAUCGCUUUCGCGCGCCGCGCGCAGCUCUGCGCGUGCGCGGCCGUUGAACGGUCGGAGCCGGCCCUGAGACGGUGGGCGCCUGCCGAGCACCCUGCGGGGCUGUGGGACGGCCCCGCCGACGUGACGGCCCCGUAUGCCUUCUCCCGGUCCCCUCGCUCCUUUCUGCUCCUGUGGUGCCGAGGCUCAGAAAUGACUACACCGAACAAGACACCACCUGGUGCUGAUCCAAAGCAGUUAGAGAGGACGGGUACUGUUAGAGAAAUAGGCUCGCAAGCAGUUUGGUCACUUUCAUCCUGUAAACCAGGAUUUGGAGUGGAUCAGUUACGAGAUGAUAAUCUAGAAACUUACUGGCAGUCGGAUGGAUCACAGCCUCAUUUGGUGAACAUCCAGUUUAGAAGAAAAACAACAGUGAAGACAUUGUGUAUUUAUGCAGACUACAAAUCUGAUGAAAGUUACACUCCAAGCAAAAUCUCUGUCAGAGUAGGAAAUAAUUUUCAUAAUCUCCAGGAAAUCCGGGUAGCCAACACCCUUGGCUGUGUGAAUUUUGGCUGAGAUGGUGAGGAGUCUUGCCACCCAAGUAUGAUUCCACCGCCAAAUCCAUCGAUGUUUCACGCUGAGAAUGGGUAUUUGAUACUACUUCACUCUCUGAAAAGGAAUCAAACCUACCUUAGAAAUGUCAUGCUUCGGCCAGUACAGACUGCAAUGCAGAGGCUCAAGAUGACCUUCAAGCUACAAAUGAGACUCGAGUACAAAACAAAGAAAUGAAGAUGUGUAAGACAAUACCUACAUUCUUCCUGCUGUUUACAGGAUAUUGUGUUAAAAAUAUGCGUGUUGCUGCAGAAGGGACAGAAGUCACAUCACUGUCACCUUUUACCUCACAAUCUCCUCAACAAGCAACAACAGGCUCAGGAAGUGCCACUUCCUCAACAGCAAUAAGUCGUGCAUCUCUGUUAGUGGCAGGACUUGGCAUUUUCUUUAUAAUGUUCUUAAUUUGUAUAAUUAUUGGUGUUUGGAAUGCACGAAAAUCAUCGAAGGAUUCAUUUCAGGUUACUUCUGCCCCAUCCAGUGAAGCUUAGGUGACCUUAAGAACAUCAAGACAUGAGAACCAAUGAGAAAAGAAGAAAUGAAAGUCCUAUUACUUGGUUGCUAUUUAGAGGGCCCUUCCACAAGAGCAGAAUAUUAAAAAUAAAUAAAUUAUUGAAACUACAGAGAUCUUAGGUACCAAAGGUGUCACACUUAAGUUAUGUCUAUACUAAUGACUUAAACUUGGCACAGGAACAUUGCUACUUUUGAGACUUAGCUGGAAUAAUCCUUGUUUAUGCUUGAGUUGUGUGUUCUACCUAUUGGGAAUAGCUCCUGGAAGGCUCUAACUUCUAAGUAACAAUCAAGUCACAUGAAUAAACAGUAGUAUUCCAGUGGAUAGGAGUUUCCCAGACAUUGUUUAAUUUAUUAGUCUAGAUGCAUAGGCUUAUUGUUCAAUGCUAUUUCUAAAUGACAUACUUGAUGUAUCACUCAAUUAGAGGGACAGGUAUUUUCACGAUUAAUCAAACCUGGCCACUGCAAACUUUAACUUACUUACUGUGCUGUGUUUGGCUGCUGCAUUGUAACUGUAAAAAGCUAGUCUUUUAAAUGAAAGUCUUGUUGUCAUAAGCUUAUUAUGGUGUCUUAGGCUGGAGUGUAAACCUACCGUUGAACUGUGUUGCACUUUCUCAGUUUGCAGAUAAUCCCAUGGAACAGAAUGACAGAAUAGUCUCUCACCUUGACCUUAGGCAAAAGAUAAGUAUCCACACUGAGUGAUAGUGUAGUGUAAAAUCAUAUGCUGGCAUGUACUUCUGAGAAGCUACGUAAGUUUAAGUGGGUGAAACCCAUGUUGUGAGAAAGCUACUACCCAAAUUCUGUAACCUGAACAAAGGCAUGCCAUAGUUUUCAGCACAUCAUCUGUUUUAUUAAAGGGAAUAAGGAAGUUUCAGGAAAAAACUAUUUUUAUAGAAUGUGAAAAAUAUGUUAACACUUUGAUAAAAUUUAUCCAUUAAAGUCAGCAACCCUGUCUCUACAGUAUUCACUCCUCUGUAUAGCUGACGGACCUUUCUUACACUGGUUCUAGUCCUUAAAAAUAAUCAUCAUCAAGACUCAAGGCUGAAACCUUCAUUUUGCUGGAAGGAUACCAUCAUUAUUUUCCUAAUUGAGUAGCACUUACUGUGUCAGAGGCACACAGCAGCCAGUGACUGUGGUGGGGCUCUGCCUGAGCAGUGUCUGGGGAAUGUGGGGAAGAAGGGGCCAGCAGACAUUUGCCCAAAGAGCUGCCUUCCUGUAGCGUGUCAGGGGAAAGAGGACUGAAGAGGUAAGUCUGAGACAGUCUGAGGUUGCUUUACCAAAGCAUUCCUGUGUAAGCUUUAGCAAAUGAACUUUAUUUCUGAAUUUGAGAGCCUAUUCUUCAAGACAAAAUUGUUAGUGUGUUUGUACCUCAUAUUUUUCUGUGAAGAUGAAUAUUUUUGAGAGCAUGCAAUGUGUAAGUCCCACAGUAACAAAGCUAUACCGAGAACUGUACAUAUGUAGGAAAUUACAGCUUAUGUCUGUAAAUCAUACCAAGCCAGUUAUUUUUCUCAUAACAAUAGAGAAGGAUGCUGUAUCAGCUUUCAACUUGAGUUAUCAAUUGAUGUUCUAUUCAAAUAAAAACAUACAAGUAUUAUUUUUUUAUAGUUUGGGUUUACUUUGUGAGUAAAUCCUUUACUUCAGUACUUCACUUCAUUUACUUUAUUUCAGAGAAACAAAAAUUCUCUGGUUGAAAGUUAGCCACUUUUUCUAUUUUUCCAAUACAGAAAGCUGUUUUUCAUUGUGUUCAGUUAGGAGUUGAAGAAUGAGAUAAUUAUACGAACUAUAUCUGCAGCAGUAUUAUUUAGGAUAGGAGGGUUGUGCUACAGCUGCCUUGUGUGUUAUUUUUUUAAAAUGUACGUCUUAUGUGGUUGGGUAUUUUUCCAUUAAAUAGAAGUUUGCUAUAUGCUUAAAUGUCUUCCUAGAUACUAGAUCAAGGGUGCACUGGACAACAAACUGAAUGUGGAAGAAAUAGGAAUAAACAUUUUUCUGUUUUCCAGGAAUAGUUAAUAUAAACCAUGUUUACACUGCUUUUUAUUUGAUAUUGGCGAACUUGUAUGUGAAUGAAUCUGCUUUUGGAAAUGCUUUUGUAGUGGCUGUAUUUUAUCUGAUCUUUUACAGAACUUCUUGCUAUAAAUUAAAUAUACUAGUUUUUGUUUUGUGUUCA